rnacentral:rRNA from 1 species
UUGAUCAUGGCUCAGGACGAACGCUGGCGGCGUGGAUUAGGCAUGCAAGUCGAGCGAUAUCUAACCUUCGGGUUAGUGAAAGCGGCGAACGGGUGAGUAACACGUGAACAACCUGCCCUUACAUUCUGGAUAAUUCACCGAAAGGUGAUGUAAUACAGGCGAGGAUUCUCCUUUGGCAUCUUAGGAGAAGGGAAGGCCGGAGAUUUAUCUCUGGCCGUGCGAGGAGGGGUUCGCGGAUUAUCAGGUAGAUGGUGGGGUAACGGCCUACCAUGCCGACGACGAUUAGCUGGUCUGAGAGGAUGGUCAGCCACACUGGGACUGAGACACUGCCCAGACUCCUACGGGAGGCUGCAGUCGAGAAUCUUGCACAAUGCACGAAAGUGUGAUGCAGCGACGCCGCGUGAAGGAUGAAGGCCCUUGGGUCGUAAACUUCUUUUAUCGGGGAAGAAAAAAAUGACGGUAUCCGAUGAAUAAGCCACGGCUAACUACGUGCCAGCAGCCGCGGUAAUACGUAGGUGGCAAGCGUUGUCCGGAUUUACUGGGCGUAAAGAGUAUGUAGGCGGAUACUUAAGUAGAAAGUGAAAGGUUGGAGCUCAACUCCAACAUUGCUUCCUAUACUGGGUAUCUUGAGUGCUGGAGAGGAAAGCGGAACGACACGUGUAGCGGUGAAAUGCGUUGAUAUGUGUCGGAACACCAAUGGCGAAGGCAGCUUUCUGGACAGAAACUGACGCUGAGAUACGAAAGCGUGGGUAGCGAACAGGAUUAGAUA